rnacentral:pre_miRNA from 14 species
AUUUAUAAAGUGAAAGACCCCCGGAGCAGGGAGACCCUCACUCAAGUCUCAGUAUGACACGACCCCCCAAGAACUCACAAAAGAUG